rfam:Taeniopygia guttata chromosome 15, whole genome shotgun sequence.
UUUAUGGCUCUUCUGAGAGCCAUUGAAAAGCCUACAACAAUAAAUAU